rnacentral:lncRNA from 1 species
UCCCUAUACUAUAUACUUUUGCUACAAGGCAAAGAGCAUUUUUCUUGUGCAUAGUUAUACCAGGUUUCACAUCUGUGUCAAUAUCUUUCUGCUUCUUUCCAUCAGGCAGUUCCCAAUCAAAAGAGUAGAGAAGGUUAGCCAGUGUAAGCUCUGUAGUAGCAGCUCCCAUGGCUAUGGCCGGACAGCCCCUCCGACCUGCCCCAAAGGGAAUUAAUUCGAAAUCUUGUCCUUUAAAAUCAAUAGGAUUCCCCAAAAAUCUCUCUGGCAAAAACUCUUCUGGGUUUUCCCAAGCUUCAGGAUCCCUUCCAAUCGCCCACGCGUUCACAUAAACUAGGGUUUUUGGUUGAAUUUCAUUCCCUUCAAUGACACAACUAUCAAUUGUUUCUCUUGGCACAAGAAGUGGAGCUGGUGGGAAUAAUCGCAUAGUUUCUUUUACUACUGCCUUGAGAUAAACAAGCUCUUGAAGAUCAUCUUCAUCCACAUGUCCUUUCUUUCCAAUUGUCUUUCUAAUCUCUUCUUGUACUUGCUUCAUUUGUGUAGGGUUUUGCAUUAGUCCUGUCAUGGCCCAAACCACAGCUGCUAAACUUGUAUCCGACCCGGCAAUAACAAUAUUCUACAGAUAUAAAGGAACAUAUAAGAAAUACUUCCACUGUUCUUAAAUAUAAGAUCUAAGCCAUAAUAUGCAACUCUACUCUACCACAAUAUUCUGCUAAGAUAAAGGAACAUAAGAAAUACAUAGACAUGCAUGGACCAUGUUGUAGGCCCAUGUACCAACAAAAAUAGCUUUUCUUUACCAAAAAUUGAUCAUAAAACCACAUAUAUAUUUAGGUAUGUAGAUACGGUGAAGUUAAAAAUAAUCAAGUCCAUCUGUCAGGAUAAUAGGAAAUGUUACAGGUGUAUGGCACAAAGUUACAAUACUGAACAACAUAUGCAACUCUAGUCUAUGCAGGUGCAUUAAUUUUCUAUAACCUUUUAAUUAACAAAUAACUUGACAAUUAAUAACUUCACUGAAUCAAAAUCCCAUAUUUUGGCCCUUAACAUUGAUCAUACAUACAGACUAAAGGUGAUACCCAAUGUUAAAGUAUCUUUUCAUUGUACAGGUUAAAGAUUCGAGUCUAUUACUCAACAAAUCUGUCAAAACAACACAAGUGGUACAUGAUGAAGGUAAUUAGGUAAGUAUCUCUAGGUUUCCCCCUAGUUCCUUACUUAGGUUCGGCUCCCUUAGUUCCUUCCCUAGAUUUCCCCCUAAACUCCAAGGAUUGAAAUGUAUCAUUAGAAUUAUUAAAUUGUAAUAUAUAUACAAUAGGUUCUCAAAAAAAAAAAACCAUUGAUGAAUACCAUAAGCACUCCUUUUAUGUGAUCAAAAGUGAGGUCGAAUGAAACUAGUUUCUCCCUUUUCAACUGGAGUAAGAUAUCAAGAAUAUUACCUUUCGUGGAGCUUGUCCUCUCCGAAUUAAGGUGUUCAUCGAUGAGUUCUUGGUAGAAUGAAUCCAUAUCCUUGAAAUUCUUCUCCAACCUUCCACUUAUACCUCGAAGUUUAUCGAUCCAACCCAUAAGAGGAAAAUAGUCUGACACAAAGAAACUUCCAAACAUAGCCUGACUUUCAUUAAAAAUAUCAUGGAACCUACUUCUUUCACUCCCUUCAUCAUCAUAUCUCUUACCAAAAGCAACUCUACAAAUUAUGGAGGUAGUAAGAGUCAUUAAGAUUUCAUUCAAAUUGACGAGUUCAGACAAAGAAGCAAAAGCACAUAUCUUUUUCACAAGACGGGCAACUUCAUAUUCGCGAAUAGGGCGAAAAGAUUGUGAUCUUUUGGAGCUAAAAAGAUGAAGAACACAAACUUUUCUCAUCUCCCUCCAAUAGUCACUAUAUGGAGAAAAGACCACAUCUAAUCCAUUGUAAGAUAGUUUCCUUUGUCCAUGUAAAGAUGGCCUACUAGCAAAUGCAAGAUCAUGUGCUUGAAAGACUUGUUUUGCUAUUCUUGCUGAAGAGACUACAAGAGUUGGGACAGAACCAAGCUUCAUGGACAUGAGAGAGCCAUAUCUUUGAGAAAGUUUCCAUAAAUAGAUAUGAAGGGUUGAGCUAUCAAGUUGGUGCAAGUUUCCUAAGAAGGGAAGCCCUUGAGGGCCUGGUGGAUGACGGAGUUUUUGGCCAAUUUUGUUCGGUUUUAGUGGGAAAAGUAGUAGGCAUAGAGGAACAAGUACAAGAAGGAGAAGGAGAAGGAGAAAUAUAGCCAUUAUUGAUUGCAAGAUGUUGUGAGUGACCAUAAUAAGUAGAUCCUAGUUUUUGUUUUUUUUUUAAGUCUCAUUUUUUGGGUAAUACAAUAUAAUUUUAUAAUCAAGUAUAUUAUUCAUUGUUAAAAAUUAAAAUAUCAAUAACCAAUUAAACUUCAUUAGAAAAAAAAAAUAAACUCACAAAUAUAAUUUUAUAAUCAAGUAUAUUAUUUACUAUUACAAUAUCAAGAACCAAUCAAACCUCAUUACAAGAGAAAAAAUAAAUUAACAAAUUAAUAAUCAAGUCUCGCAUAAAAGAGAAAAUACACUUCACAUAGAGAAAGAAAUAAACUCAUGUAAGUAAAAAUCGAACGUGUUCCUCAACUAUAUUAUUAUAUUAUUAUUGUUUUUAUAUGCUACCUGUCUGUCAAUGGAGAACUUGUACACGACUCCUUUUUUUCUAGCAACACACUAAUUACUUCAAUUUAAGAGGUUUUAACUUAUGUUUCCACUGGCCAUUUCUCUCACUCGUUUUCAGUUGCAUUGCAGGUUUCUGAAAGGACAUUAAUUAAAAACCCCUAUAAUAUAUACAAACUCAUACACACACACACACACACACACAUAUAUAUAUAUAUAUAUAUAUAUAUAUAUGGGUUUUAAUCCAUAGCAAACGUUUGCUAUGAGCACUAUUCAGCAACCAAAUUGAUUACCGUUGAUCUGGACAAUAGAAGGCUGGGAUUGGUCAAUUAUUCCCCCUGCCACUACGGCUUGUAGCGGCAGUCCCUUUUUCUUUUUGUCCGUUAGCUUAUUACAUUACUGCCCCUAACAAUUUAAUACAUGUCUGCCCCUACAGGCUGUAGCGGCAGUGUGGGUCUCACCCAUAUGGCUAUAAUAUAAAGAUGAGUUUAUUUUUAUGUAUACAUAAUGUAAAGAUACAUAAUGUAAAAAUAAAAGAUAAUGAUAAGAUAAGUCUGAAUAAAAGAUAAAUUUAUUUUAUUAUAAAAGAUAAAUUUAUUUUCCCAGGAAAGAUGGGGCUUUCCGAUAAAGAUUUCUCCCUAUUGGUGCUCAAUUAGGUGACCAAAUCUCUCCUUGACAGAACUUUUUAGACAUUGUCAAUAUUGCAAAUAAAAAUAUGAAUAACUUUGUCGUCUCAAUUAUUGAUUUAAUAAUAUAAAAUAUUAUGCAGAUGAUACUACGACAAUAAUUGAAUCAAUAAUAUGAGAGAUAUGAUGUACUGUAGCAAUAAUUGAGUAUAACUGAGUGACUUCUCACGUAAGCAUCAAUAAUCAAUACCGUGUGUUACUAUGCAACCACACAUAUUACUGUACUUUUACCAUCAGGUAGUUCAACAGUUUAACGGUAAAACUUUCGUCGUUAUUUUUAUAAAAAGGCAUUUUUCGUCAUUUUCUAACUCCGACAACACUUUCGUUGUGGGGUCCACCAAUGAUCGUGCCAUCGUACGAAUAUUCCCUGUUAAAACGAAUAUUCCCCGACCAAUCGAAUAUUUUAUAACAACUUACUUACUUUGCAAAAUUUGUAAGGUUUAAAUAUAAUUUACUACCCUAAACUAUAAGUCAUAUUCCACUUCGGUGAUCCACCUUUCAAUUUUGUCAAUUAGAUGAUUGAACUAUUAAUUUUUUCCAAUUCCAACAAAUUUAGACGUGGCUAUCUGGGUGGGCCAUUAAUCAACUGAUGUGUAUAAAAAAUUAAUUUUUUAUUUUGUUAUUAAAUAUUUUUAAUAUAUUCAAGGGUAAAAUUGUCAAACCAUCACUAAAAGCAUAAGUUGAUUAAUGGUUUAAUAUAUAGUUUGAUGCUUUUAAUAUUUUUAAUAACAAUUAAAAGCAUCAAACCAUCAUAAUCGAUCUCAACCAAACAUGGCCUCUUUAUAUACCCAAAUCAACCCACAGAUGCAUCUUCACUUCACUUCUCAGAUCUAGUACAUCUCAAUCAAAUCUUGCCUCUUUGCAUACCCAGAUCCAAAAAAGAAGAAAUCAAAGCAAACUCUUUACAUCUUUUCUUCUCCUUUUUUUUUAUUUUCUUCUCUCAAAUCUGGCGAUUUUUUUUGCUAGCGACAAUUGUGGAAGCAUAAAGGUUGUGAAUUUUGGAGGUGCGGUUGGGAUGAGAAGUGAAAUAUGAUCAAGGAUGAUGAUUUCACAGUCAUGUAUAUAUGUGUAUACAGGGAGAAAAUUAAAGGUAUUAGAAGAUUUGAUGAUUGCUUGAAUAUUGGGUUGAUUUGUAGUGAGAGGAAUAAAGAAUUUGGGUGAGAUUUAUAGUGGGGGUUUUAGCAAAGAGAGAAAAAUGAGUGAGUGGAGAAGAAGAAACCAGGCGCGGUUUUUUCAGUACACAAUUUUAUCCGACAGAGGCGGUCAUGUAGUUCCGAUCGAUGGUGAUGGUGGAAUUUGUGAGUUUUUUAUGGUGUAAUUAUUUUUAUUUUUUGGUACGAAAAUAUGUUUAUCCUUCCGAAAUUCUGGAUUGAACUAGCUCUUAAAACAUCUGUCUUUGUAGAUCUUAAAAAUUUCUUGCGGAAUUUUUUCUUUUGGUGGUGUAAUGUUGGUGAUAAUGGUGAGCAGAGGUGAUGAUAGUGGUGGGCAUGUGUUGUGGUGAUAGGGAAGAUGAGUGGGUUAACAAAUUUGCCUAAUUUCUUAAAUCUAUAAUUUCAGUAAAUAAUAAUUUUUUGUCUUUUAAUCUUUCAUUUUGGUUUUGGUUUCAUUUGAUAUUGUUGGUUUGGGUUUACAAUUUGGUUGCUGAUUUGAGUUUGCAAUCCAAUCCGUUGUUUUUCAUUAAUAUUAAUGUAUAAUAUAAAGUGAUUUGACGAGUUUGCCCUUUAAAUGUGUUAAGAAAAAAUAAAAUACUAUUUUUAGUUACAACUCAGCUGACCAAUGACCCACUCAAAUAGCCACGUCAGCGAUUUCUGACGUGGCAGACUCAAUUUGUUGUAAUUGGAAAAAAUUAAUAGUUCAAUCAUCUAAUUGACAAAAUUGAAAGGUGGAUCAUCGAAGUGGAAUAUGGCUUAUAGUUUAGGGUAGUAAAUUAUAUUUAAACCAAUUUGUAAAUAUUACCCACAACUAUAACAUUAUAUCGAAUCCACACCAUAAUAUUCAAAAAUAUAUUUCGAGAAAAAUUCAUCUUUAUUCAUAAAAGUUGGGGUCUUACAUAUGACAUGUACAUUCCCUUUUUCUAUAUUGAUUGUUCCUUUCACGCCCACAACCACUACCAUAAUUUCCUCCAUGUUUAUCAAAUGAGGUUCCAUUAACUUCAGGGAAUAGAGUAGAACCGAUAGGGCGAGAUUGGUGAUUUUUCAGCAAAAACCCAUUAUUAUUUUUUCAGCCAUUAGAAGACAAGACAUCAUAUCACUUCAGGUGAUAAUUUCCUCUAUCGUUUCAGGGAAUAUUUUCUGAACUUACGCUCUCGAUAUUACUGCUACAGGAGCAUAUUCGAGAUAUGAAAUGUAUAAUAAAUAUUUUAUUUAACAUCAUCAAUGUGUUUUUUUUCUUUCACCACACAAUUUUAAUAAUGAGAUUAUUUUAAAAUAACAAUACUACUAUCACAUAAAAAAGGGUCACAUAAUGCUCACAUACACACAUAUACAUACGGUGGGCCCCCACAUGUCAUGUGGGGCCCACAGUAUGCAUGUGUGUAUGUGAGCAUUAUGUGACCCUUUUUUAUGUGAUAGUAACAUUAUUUAUUUUAAAAAAUGUAAAAUUGUACUCACUCACACUUAAAAUCUUGCAACUUCAGGUGCAACCAAUUAUAACAAAUUUUUAGGAAGAUUACAUUUUUUUUCCAUAUCUUUUCUUUAAUUAAAUCAUUCCACAAGACAAGUAGGUCUUGUAAAGUACUAAGAUUUUAAUUUUUCAUGGAGAUGAUGGCGAAUAAAAUAAUUAAUUUUGCACGAUCCUGCAGGGAUGCUUGAUUGUCAAUCUUAAUUGUAUCUCCACUGUUCUUAGCCUUUAGAUGAAUCUCAACAUAAAAAGUCCAUGAUAAGUAAUUCUUGUCUGAAAUAUCAACUGCAACAAAUUUAAGUUUAUAAUAUUUGAAAAUUAAAUAACUAAGUGUAUUCCCCACCAAAUUAAAUAAUUAUAUAUGUUCAUAUUUAAUUAUAAUAAAAUAAUUUAUAGAAAUACACAAAAAUACGAAACCAAAUUAGUCCACUAAAUCUAAACAACAAACCAACACUACUAAGCAUAUUUAGCAGUAGUCAUCAUAGCAAAAGAUAUGAACAUGCAUGAAAAAAUUAUGUGGAUUAGUAAAUAAAAAUAUAUUGUUACAGAAAGCAAAUAAUAAAACUAAUUAAAGACUAUGAUCAUCCAUGCAUGUGGCUUAUGUUGAAUAAUUGUGAACCAUGACCAGCAAUGAUAAUAAUAAUAUGUAUGAAUACACAUGAAGACAAACAAACAAAUAUAUAGAAACAUUUGUCUUUAUUGGUUUGAAUUUGAUGACCACCUAGCUAUUUGAUGUGUUAAAAUUAUGUAAUGCAAGUGCACAAUAUAAUGUCAAAUUGAAGAACUGGCAAGUACAUGUCGAACCCACAUAGACUAGAUUAAUUUUAAUGUUUCAUUAAUAUCUAUUUUAGACGAAUUAGAAAUAAAGAUUGAGAAUUGAUUAACUAGAAUAUGAAAACUAAUAAUGAGGAAACAAUCUAGGAAUCUAAAUCCAUUAAAUAAUAAACAUAAUAUAUAAUUCAAUCUCUUAUAUUUUUAUAACUCAAAUAUGAUUUUGAUCUCCCUUCCCUUCAAUUUAGUAAUUUACAAUUAACGUGGGCAAUCAUAGACUGUGAAAAUUUAAGAAUUAACUAUAACACAUCAAAACUUCUUUGAGCAAACAUGGAUUAUAUAUGAAAAAUUCAUAUAUUGACAAUAAUAUAUCAAAACCUCUUAAUUAAUUUAAAAUCACAUAAAAGAACUAUAAAACGAAGGUAUUUCAAUAACGAAACAUGAAGACGAAAUCAAUUAAACAUAAAAGUAUAAAUAAUAGAAGAGAUGAAAAAUAUUAUCAAGAAUAAUUAAUUAAUUUCAUCUUCAUCCUAGAUUAAAGAAAUUAGCUAGACAUGAAAAAUAAUUAAACUAACUAAAAUAAAGAAAAGAAGAAGAUUAAAAAUAAAUAAGAAAACUCCAUUUAAUUAAUGAUCAUCUAACAAACGUACAAUGAAGAAGUAAUUUAAUCUACUCCUACUCCUAACCUAAACUAAUACAAUACCUAACACUCAUUCUCUCUAAAACAAUAGACCUAUUUAUAGAAGAAAAAAAAAUUGUGGCCUAAUUUAGAUUCAUUGAACUUAGACACUUUUGUUCUUUAUUUUUCCUCUUUUUUCCUUCUUGACUUCAAUCUCUAUAUGGUAAUCCUUCAAGAGUCUUUUUCCAUAUUUAAAAGUUGGAUAUAAAUCCUUUAUUUGCUCCCCAAGAAAAAUAAAUGUUCUUUUCUACAAAAUAAAAUAAAAUGUAUCAGUUAAAUAAAAUAAGCAUGUAAAAUAAUAAAUAUGAGAAUAUUAAAAUGUAUUAAUUACGUGUCUAUCACUACUCUUGUUUGUGCAUGUGAAACAUAUAUUAUAUUUAUCGUAAUAUCUGAAGGAAGUAAAUAAAUUCUUCAUUGAAUUUAUGUUAAUGAGGUAAGGAUAUUAUAUUAUAAUAUUUUGGGUAUGUAAAUAAUUGUAUUGACAAGGAAUUAUGUGUAACAUAUUUAUUUUUGUAAUUAUAAAAUAAAUAUAUAAUUUAAGUAAGUUAUGUUCUGUUUUAUAUAAUUUAUAUAUCAAAGAUGGGAUAUAUAAAUUAUAUGAUUCCGAGAAGGUAAAGUAGUUUAAGGAAAUUUAUGUAGUAACUUAUUUGAUUAAGUUAAGUUACUAAGGUUGAGUAAUUAAAUUACUUAACAAAAGCAUUAAAAGAAUAGUUGAAUUAAUUAUUUAAUUAUUAAACCAAAUGUAGCAAGUAAAUUAUCAAAUACUAAAAACCAAUAUUGAGCCAAAAAUGUGGCAUGAUCCGUGUAAAUGAAGGAGUAAUAAGUAGGUGGAGUAAUUUUUUUUAACACUCUUCCCUUGUGUGUCACUGCUAAAGUCUUUAGCCAUUAUUUUGCAAGAGUUUGGAAGCAACUUAAGAUAUGAGAGAGAAAACAAAUAAAAAUUGGGCAAAGGGGGAAUAGUAUCACAUGCUAAUUAAAUUUCUUUGCCACCUUGAAUAUCUUCUAGGAUAGGAAAGAGAGAGAAAAUAUUUGGUAGAUAUGAAAGAUUAGAGAGAGAAAACAAAGCUAGCAAAACAAAACAAAAGAGACAAUUAGAGAGAGAAGGGGUAGUCGGCAGCCCCUAAGAGGGAAGUAGAGAAGAUUUCUUCCAUGCUACAUAGCCUUGAAAUCUAUGGUGGAAAGCACAAAAGGUAUAACAUUUCUAACCUUUAAUUUGUUCCAUGAGAUUUAUUUUGGUUGUUUUACAAAAUAAAGAAACUAUGUUUAUUGAACUUCAAAAAUUUUAGAUCUAUAUGUUUUUGAGUGGUUUAUGGAUGGAUCUAAUCAUUUUGAGUGUUAAAUGUUGGAUCAAAGGAAAGAGAAAUAAAACAAUUUUUAAAGCUCAAGAAAAUUAGUGAACUGCUGAACGAAAAUGGCAAAUUUGGGAUUAGUUAGAGUGCUCUAAAAAUUCUGGGCUUUUGGUAUGUUGUAGUACACUGAAUAAACUUUCCAUAGACUCUGAAAUGGACUAAAUCCGACUUCGUAGCAAAGAGUUAUGCCAUUCUAAAGUAACCGAGUCAAAAUUGUCCAAGGAAAUGCAGUGCAGUCUCCUUGCACAGAAUUUCUGGACUAAUGUGUUCGGAAUCUGGAAAAAGGUCAGUAGGGAAGAGUUUUAUUCCCGAAAUUUAGCUUCGCGGGGGCUCAAGAAUCGCCUAAAAAUGUUUUAAAAUGAAAAGGUUAUGACUGUUUUAGCAAGAGGGUAAAUCUGGGAAAAAGGUAAAAAUCGUUAUGAACAUCCACUUUUUCCGAAUUAUUUGGACUGCCUAAUGAUACUGAAUUGGGAGUUUGAUAUUUUUUAAAAAUAGUCUUAUAUGAUACGAAAAACAUAUCCAAAAAUCAGAUCAAUCGAAGUUAUGAGCAAUGCGUGAAAUAUUCGCGAAGUAGCGGAUUCGUUAAGCACUACAAUAGGCCCAAGAUAGCUGGGCAGCAGUUGCUGGCAGUGCCCAGCGCCCGCCUUGCAGACUGCUGCUGGUUCCAUUUUUGAGCGCGAUUUUGACAAACUUUCGUGAUUUUUUUUUCGCGGUUUGAAAAUUUUCUAAAAUACUAUGCCAUGAGGUUUAUAAUACGCAUGAAAUUUCACUGUUAUAUAACUUAUGAUUUGAGAAUUAAAAAUGAGCGAAGGAGCAUGUCAGAACUAAAAUUUGAGCGAACGCUGAGCGUCGGCGCGUCGAGCGACUUUGACGUUCGACGUUUCGAAUCGCGUUCGGACGAAAUAAUAAGUCAUAAAUCUAAUAGUCUUACGGGACGAGAUUUGACUAUAAAUGAUAUUUUACGCCGAAAAAUUUCUUUUCAAGCAUAAAUAAAGCAAUAAAAAUAUGUAAUAAAUAUAAAUUACAUAUUUAAAUGAAAUAAAAACUAUAGUUGCCUAUAAAAUUAUUUUGUGGUGUAACGAUAUAUAUAUAUAUAUAUAUAUAUAUAUAUAUAUAUAUAUAUACAUACAUAUAUAGCAAAAAUGCGAAUAUUUGUAAAUCAAAAAAUAAAGUGAAUGUGCUAACAAAAUAAAAUAUGUAUAUAUGAGGCAACGAUUCGUGUUGACUCAUGAACGAAAAAAAAUGAUAUAUAAAUUAUUUAAAUUAAAAAAAUAAUAUAGUAAAUUGAAUCUUACUAUAAAAGUUAUGUAUUAGCUGUUUAAACCUUAAUUUGUGAGUAAAUGUAAAAGAUAUUUCUGAAAAGGAAUAAAGAUGGUUUAAGCAUCAAGAUGUAAAAUAUUUACAUCUUAAAAUGUGUGAGACCUUUAUUAUUUAUAUUAAGAAGUGAUUUGAAUAUUAUUAAUAAUGAUUAAAAUAUUAUUAAAUGAUUAAUAAUAUUAGAUAAUGAUUAAAAUAUUAUUAAAUAAUUAAUAAUAUUAGAUAAUAAUUGAAAUAUUAUUAAAUGGUUAAUUGAAAUUUAACUAGGCACACUUAGAAGGGGGGGGGGGUUGAAUAAGUGUGGGAGUAAUCUAUGACCAAUUUUUAAACUUUAGAUCAAGCUAUUAAAUUCAAGAAACUAUAUUUAUUAAUUCAGUUUACUGAAUUAAUAUAGUCUACUGAAAUGACUAAAUAUUCUGCUGAAUUUAUAAUUUAAAUUAAAUACUUGGUGUUUGAAGAAUUAUCUUAAUAUAAAGCAAGUAAUCAGAUUUUAAUUAUUAAGAUAAUUAAAUAGCUUACGUGAGUAAUGCAAGUAAUAAAAUCAACACCAGGAUUUUUUUUACGUGGUUCAACUAUUAUCCUCUUUAAUAAUAGCCUAGUCCACGUCCAAUACCAACUAGUAUUGGAGACUCACUUUAUUUAUUUCUUUAUAAAUAAAUACUGAUUACAAAACAAAUUCUUACAAAAAUUAAUUAAACAAUUAAUUCCUCUUGAGCACUCUUGCUCCUUGUGUACCUAUGCACUCUUCAAGCACAUUUGCUUCCUUGAACCUGUUUGUAAACCUUUUCUCUAAUCCACUAGAAUUAACACCUUUAGACUACACUUAGUCUAAAAUAGAAAUUUCAAUAUAGAUAUAGAGGUCUAUGAUCAAUGCAAGAAUAAUCAAUUUAACAAUUAAAGGCUCAACUAUAUGCAAUGAUCAAUUAGCACACAAAAAUAAACAAUUAAUUUCUUACCAAAUAUCAGCUCAAAUAAUACCAGAAAUUAAAUUGCUUAGCUGCUCAAACGAUUGCACCGAUAAAAUUGCUCGAGUAAUAAUCAGUAAUUAGUGCAAGUCUAUUUUUGUGAGUUGUAUUUUUCAUUCAUGAAAAGCACUGUUUAAAUAGUCAUCCAAAUAAUACCGUUAAAUAGAUAUGUCCAAAUAAACCAACGGUAAAGAAAUCUUUUUAACAACAAAGAAGAUGAUCAUAUUAAUUAAUAAUUAUCCAAGUCACAAAUUCAAACUUCUUUAGUGUUAUACUGUUGAGAUAACAUCAAAAAUUCCUUCAAGAUAUAACUCAUUAACGUGGCGUGUGGCUACAUAAAAGGAACAACUAAAGUAACGUGUGUCAUCAAACUCUUUAUUAGAUAUACAGUUGAGAUAAAUCAUAAUAAACCACUAAAUAGCUUUUGCUUUAUCUCUCCAAGUAUUUAAGUAGCAUGCAACAACUAAAGUGACGGUUUGCAUAAAAAGUGGCGUAUGACACUAACCAACUUUAUCAAUAAUUAAUGCUUUCAAAGUUCCAAGAUAAUCAUUAUCAUUUCUCCUUGAAAACCGUGCACUUACCAUGUCAACCAUCUUGUUACUAACCAUGCUUAAUGAUUUCCACGUGUACCAAAAAUAUUUAGACAGUCUUCUAGACAUGCAAAACAUAUAUCAAGUAAUAUACAUGUAAAGUAUUUAGAAAAACAUUUUUCAAAACGUUUUUUUUAAUAUUUUUUCAUUUAAGACAUAACAAAAUGCUAAUAAUAUGUCCUAGAACCUUUAAAUGAAAAAUCAAUUAUUAUGCAAUUGACCUUACAUUUUUGUUUCCUAGUAAAGAAAAAAAAAUUCUUCACUCCAACAAAUGUUCCUUAUCAUCAGAUACCUGAAAUGUCAUAAAAUAAUUUAGCAUUCGAAUAAUUCAUCAUCAAAACUUAAGGAUAAAAUAUGACUAGAUCAACAUUAAUAAUAUUAUAUAAGGAUUAAAAUAUUAUUAAUUGAUGAAUAAUAUGAGUGAUUUAUUAAAAUAUUAUUAAAUAAUUAAUAAUAUAAGUGAUUAAUUAAAAUAUUAUUAAAUGAGUAAUAAUAUUAGUUAAGGAUUAAAAUAUAAUUAAAGGAUUAAUAAUAUUAGUGUUUGAUUCAAAUACUAUUAAAGGGUUAAUAAUAUUGGUAAAUGAUUAAAAUAUUAUUAAAUAAUUAAUACUCCCUCCGUCCCAAAUUAAUUGCUCAGUUUUGACUUUUUAAAGUCAAAUUGACCAUUUUUAAAACUAAUCUUUUUACUAUUUUUGCUAAAAUAUAGGUGAAGAGAUUAUAACCAAAAGAAAUUAUAUACAAUUUAUUACUAAUCCUAAUUUUUAUAAUUUUAGAAAUAUAUUUAUAUAUGCUUAAUUAUUAAUUCUAAAAAUAGUCAAUUUGACUUUAAAAAAGUCAAAAUUGAGCAGUUAAUUUUGGACGGAGGGAGUAAUAUUUAUGAAUGAUUAAUAUUCUAUUAAAUGAUUAAUAAUGUGAUGAAGUGAUUAAAAAUUAUUAAGUGAUUACUAAUAUUAAGUGAUUAAAAUAUUAUUAAAAGAUUAAUAAUGGUAUACAAGAGUUUAAGAUAAUGGCUAAGUGAUUGUAAUAUUAUUAAGGGAUAAUAAUAUUACUAAUGAGUUAAAGAAUUAUUCAAUAUUUGAUUAUGUGGCUAAAUAUUAGCUAAUUUAUUAUUUGAGUAAUAGUAUUGUACAUGAUAUGCUAAUUGAAAGAUCAAUUUUAUUAAUGAUAUGUCUUUCAUAAGAGAUUAAAUUAGAUUGCGUAGCAGUAAUCAACGGACAAUGCAAGUUUUUUAACUCAAACUCGAGUUAAUAUUUUCAAGAAAUCUAGUGGUUUAAUUAUUGUCAAUUAUUCUAUAUCCAUGAUUAUUGAUUAGAACUUAGUGCAAGUUGCAUAUGUUUAUCGGGUAUGAAAGGCUGAUCACCUUGAUUACCAAAGUAUUUGUUGGCCACUCAACAUAUUGAUUCAAUCAUUCAUGUAAUGAAAUUUGAUUCAUGCUUUUUCACAAUCAUUAUAUUAUUGAAAAUUUGAAAGCUCGUUCUUUCUUUCAAUCAUGAUAUAUCUUUAUUGUAUCUAAACUUGCUGAGCAAAGUAGUUGCUCACUCUUGCUAUAUCAUGAUAAUAUUUCAGUUUAACCCGAAUGCUCAAAGAAGGACAACGACAAAGGCAAUGUUGAAGAGUAGUUUAUAUGAACAUUUAUCUAUUGUGAUAAUUUACAUAAAUUGAUGAUGUAAACCUUGUGAAUUAUUAAAGGUGUGUAUUAAGAUAAAGGUUGUAGACUAUAGCGAAAUUGAACGAACCAUCCCACAUCAAGUCAGCACCAAUGCAACGCACACCUGUGUAGACUGGCCCAAUAAGCAUAUUGGACCACCUCCUUACCUAAAAGGUUAACCUAUUAGGUUGAGAAUCUACGUACCAUACUUAUUAACCUAUCUACACUAUUGAAUUUAUUCAAUGUGGGAUUCAUGUGAAAUAUCCCAACAAUCUCCACCUAUCACUUGAAUACCCAUCAUAAGUAUCAUACUAGAGUAUUGAUCACCAUUAAACACACCUUCUUUAAAUCUUUCAAGAGCUCUACUUGACUCUAAUAUUAUUCCACCGUGCCAGAGGCAAACGUGUGGGCAACUUUCCCAGAGUCGUCCUUAGCCCGCUCCACCCGAUUCAAAUCAUAAUUCACCUUUGAGUCAUUCAAGAGCUUUGCUCAACUCUAAUACUACUCCACUACGCCCGAGGCAAACAUGUCUGAGUAACUUUCCCAGAUUCAUCCUGAGCCCACUCCACCUGACUCAAAUCAUCCCGUGCUCCAUAUAAUUCAACUCUAUUUGCUCCACCCACGAGGCCUACGCGAAUUCACCAUCGCACUCUCCUCGCACCCUGGAGUUGAUACUUGGACUCUAUUUGUUCCACCCACGAGGCAUGCAAAUGCAGCCUCGCACUCCCCUCGCACCCUAGAAUUAAUACUUAGGCUUUAUUUGCUCCACCCACGAGGUCUGCGAAUGCACCCUCGCACAGAGUUGAUACUUAGGCUCAUCGAACCAUGAGCUUUGAUACCAUUUGUAGCGGAUUCAUCCCACAUCAAUUCAUCAUCAUUUUCUCCUUACCUGUUUGUUGGGACUUGUGACUCAUAACUUAGAAGCUACUAAAAAAGGCUAGUGCGAAGCGGAGCGACACAACGCAGUAGCCCAUCAGGGUUGAACCAAAGGUUGGGGGUGCGGGGGGACUUUGCCCCCCACGGUACGAUACGGAGUUUCUGCAGUAGUAGCGGGGCGCCUGGAGUAGCGCGGGGCGCACCAGUGGAAGCCAGGAAGCGACGCGGGUGCGUCGGUCGGCGGAUUGAGUUUUGAUGGUUCAUUUUUUGGAAGGACAUUAUGCGUAUUUGAGCUAUAAUGUGAAGUAUGGUUGGAAUAAAAUUAGUAGUUAUAAAUACUCUCUAUUGUAAAAUCCUAUGUAACUGAAAUCAUCAAUAAAAUAAUAAGCCGCCGGUGGAGUACUCAAAUUGGAGAACCACAUAAAUCUCUACGUUAAUUCUCUACUUUUGUGUCCGUGUGUGUGAUCUUAAUUCAAACAUAGGCCUUGGGAAAUGUUAUAGAAUCAUUGUGUAAUAAACAAAUUAUGUUUAUAAUUCCGCAUUAGUUUAUAGAAUAUGUAUGAAGAUGAUGUAUCGUGAUGCACCAGGCCUGAGGUUCAAGGGACCCGAAUUUGGGGGCGUUACAAUUCAUUCUUAUUUUUAAUGGUAUAGAUGAUAUAUCCUAUAAGGAUCCAUAAAAAAUACAAACUAUGGAUCAUUCCAUAUAUAUAUAUAUAUCCUAUAACGUUUUUGAAUAAUAUUAAUUAUUUUGAAUAAUGUUAUAUAUUAUUUUACUAAAUAACGUUAAUUAUUUUGAAUUAGUUAUAUUUUUGAAUAAUAUUAAUUAUUUUGAAUAAUAUUUUGAAUAAUAUUAUUUUACUAAAUAACGUUAAUUAUUUUGAAUUAGUUAUAUUUUUGAAUAUUUUUAAAAUUCAACUAAAUAAUAUUUUUAAAAUUCAACUAAUUACAUCAUAAAAAAUAUUAACGCUUUUUAACAUAUCAACUAAUAUUAAAAAAUAUUAACGUUUUUUAAUAUAAAAAAAUAUUAAUAAAAUAUUAACGUUUAUUAAUAUUAAAAAAUAUCAACGUUUUUUAAUAUCAAAAAAUUAACGUUUUUUUAAAAAAAAUUAAUUUAAUUAGUUGUUUUAAUUAGUUAACAAAAUAAUUUGAAUUUUAGUAUUUUGAUUAAAUGAUGUAAAUAUGUUAUGCUUUUUUUAUUUUGAAUUUUUUAUUUUUUGUUUUGAUUAAAUGACAUAUUAAAUGUGUCAGGGGCAUUUUUGAACCUUCUCCCUUUAAGCCUCCAUGUUUCUGCCACGUCAGCGAAAUUUUAACCACGUUUGUCUUUUUUUUAACGGCAGGGGCACGGAUGACCCAAAAAGUGUAACGUUAAGGGUAUUUUUGGAUAAAAAAAAAGUAUAGGGUGCUCGGUAGACAUCGCGGUAAACGUCAGGGGCAAUUUUGGACCUUCUCCCUUUAUAUAUNNNNNNNNNNNNNNNNNNNNNNNNNNNNNNNNNNNNNNNNNNNNNNNNNNNNNNNNNNNNNNNNNNNNNNNNNNNNNNNNNNNNNNNNNNNNNNNNNNNNNNNNNNNNNNNNNNNNNNNNNNNNNNNNNNNNNNNNNNNNNNNNNNNNNNNNNNNNNGGUAAUAGGUGUACAAACCCAAAAGUGAUUAACAGUGCACAUUUUUUAAAGUUUACAACUGCAGACUAUAUAUAAUCGGACAGGUAACCCCUGCUUGUUUUAGUAUAUGUUCUUCGUCAGUUAUAAUUGGACAGGUAAACUGUGUCUGUUUUAGUAUAUGUUAUUCAUUAGUUAUAAUCGGACAUCUAAUACAUGUCGGUUUUAGUGUAUCUUCAAGAACACCGGUUAGAACUAAAUAUGCAAAAUAAAGUGUAGAUUAAAAAGGAAAACAAAAUAGAAAUUACACAAAGAUUUUUACGUGGUUCAGUCCCUAUCUUCUAAUCUAGUGGCCUAAUCCACGUCCAAUACCAAUUAGUAUUGGAUACACUUUUUUAUUAAAACUUGAUAUUCAAAAGAUGACAGAAAACUCCCUGUACAACGAAGAUCGAUUCUGACUUGGUCGUACAAUAUUUGCCCCCUUUGCACCUCUGCAACUUCUCUUACAUCUGAGAUCUUGAUGCUUUCAUUGUACAGGCUGAAUAUUAAAUGAUUACUCAAGCCAACCUUUUUGAUCAGUCAUGAAAGUUUCCAUGAUAGACUCCAAUUUGAAUUAAAACAAAUUGCAUAAUUUGAAUAGAUAUUCCUUAACAAACUAUUUCAAAAGCAGACUUGACAAAAUAUAUAUAUAUUAGAAAAAUAUUUUCCAAUUAUAAACAUAAUCCUACCUGCUGUAAUUAGCAACCCAUUAUAUAGAUUAGCCCAAUUAGUCUUUAACACAUACGUAUUGUAGUAAUAAUUUCUCAACAGAAUUUAUAUUUGUCAAUAUCCUUUUAUCAAAACAACCCAAGAUAUAAUAAAUCAUGACCAUUAAUACAUGAUCAUACUUAAUCAUAUUCAAUAGAGUAAUAACAAUUCAACCAAAACAUAAACCAUGCAGUCCAUAAUAUAGCCUUCAUGUAUAAACAUAUUGGAUCAUCAUAUAUUAAACUGACUAUAUAUUAUUUUCAACAAACCAUUACAAAAUCAAUUUAGCCCAUUUAAUAACUUAUAAUCUCUAGCAUAUUGUCAUCAUUAAAAUUACAAAGUAUAAAAACUAACAACAACUAGGUUAUUGAAUUUUAAAUUUUGAUUCGAAAAAUAGAAAAAGUAUAAUUUUUGGAGGGAGAAUGAAUUUUCUGAUUUUUAUAAGUAAAAACUAUAAGCAAGAAUUAGUCGCGGACAAAAAUAUAUUUUUUAGCGAUACUUUUGCAGACAUAUCAUUCAAUUUUCUCUAAUGCACAUUUAACGACACAAAUAUUAUUUUUAGCGAUACUUUUGCGACACAAUUCUUGAGACGAAUUUUAUUAGUGUCCCUAAUUGUUUGAGAUAAAUUUUAUUUAGCUGCUAAAUGUAGUAUUUAUGCCGCUGAAUACGUAUUGCGAGAAAUUGGAGGAUAAUUGUACUGGAGGCGAUCUUAAACCAACAUAAAUAUAUAUAAAACCAUACUUUGAGAUUUGUUAUUGUUAUAAUACAGUUGAUUGUAACCUUAAUUGUAAUGUAACUUUAAAUUCUUUUUAAUUCCUUUGUUUUUCUAUUGCUGAGAAUACUUCAUUUGUUAUCCAAAGAUAUUAUUGUUAAGUUAUGUAUCGAGAGUUAUUAGAGGAUAAUUACAAUGGAGGGAAUCUUAAAUCAACAUAAAUAUAUAUAAAACCAUGUUUUUUUUGUUUCCCUCUCGCUGUUGUAUACUUUGCAUGUACGGGUUGAUGCUUUCUUUUUUCGGCCCCUUUGGAAUGUUAAUUACAAAAAUUCAAGAAUGCAUGAAUAUACGGGUAGCAGCGAAGUGGAAGAAAGGGAAAUACGGAUGCCUUAUUUGAUUCUAGCAUGACUUUGAUCAGGAGUACUUCAACAUCAGGAUUUAAAUGUUUGUUACCAUCAUCCUAUACUACAUUUGGGAAGAUUUUUUAUUUCAGUUUUACGUGUUGUAUGAACGUUCAGUUUUAAGGUCUUAUAUUUACUCUUUUUGGUAUACAAAAUUAAUAGAAUAAAUGUUAAAAUGAGACUCAAUAUUACACAUUAACAUUUUUUAGGCACAUGUUGUCAUUUCAUCAAUAUUACACAAAGGAAAAUUUUAUUGCAGCAAACUUGAGAUCAUUUUGUGACUAUAUACUAUUGUCACUAAAUUUUUUUGCGAAACAACAAAAUUUACAAUAGUCUAUUUUAUGAAACAUCUAGUAGAAGCAUAAAUGAACACUUGAUACAAUAUCAUUUAUUUGUCCCUAUACUAUAUACUUUUGCUACAAGGCAAAGAGCAUUUUUCUUGUGCAUAGUUAUACCAGGUUUCACAUCUGUGUCAAUAUCUUUCUGCUUCUUUCCAUCAGGCAGUUCCCAAUCAAAAGAGUAGAGAAGGUUAGCCAGUGUAAGCUCUGUAGUAGCAGCUCCCAUGGCUAUGGCCGGACAGCCCCUCCGACCUGCCCCAAAGGGAAUUAAUUCGAAAUCUUGUCCUUUAAAAUCAAUAGGAUUCCCCAAAAAUCUCUCUGGCAAAAACUCUUCUGGGUUUUCCCAAGCUUCAGGAUCCCUUCCAAUCGCCCACGCGUUCACAUAAACUAGGGUUUUUGGUUGAAUUUCAUUCCCUUCAAUGACACAACUAUCAAUUGUUUCU